rnacentral:rRNA from 1 species
GACGAACGCUGGCGGCGUGCUUAACACAUGCAAGUCGAACGGAAAGGCCCUGCUUUUGUGGGGUGCUCGAGUGGCGAACGGGUGAGUAACACGUGAGUAACCUGCCCUUGACUUUGGGAUAACUUCAGGAAACUGGGGCUAAUACCGGAUAGGAGCUCCUGCUGCAUGGUGGGGGUUGGAAAGUUUCGGCGGUUGGGGAUGGACUCGCGGCUUAUCAGCUUGUUGGUGGGGUAGUGGCUUACCAAGGCUUUGACGGGUAGCCGGCCUGAGAGGGUGACCGGCCACAUGGGGACGGAGAUACGGCCCAGACUCCUACGGGAGGCAGCAGUGGGGAAUAUUGCACAAUGGGCGGAAGCCUGAUGCAGCAACGCCGCGUGCGGGAUGACGGCCUUCGGGUUGUAAACCGCUUUCGCCUGUGACGAAGCGUGAGUGACGGGAAUGGGGAAAGAAGCACCGGCGAACUACGU